UGGCAAAAUACAGGACUGACCUAAAAAGU
rnacentral:piRNA from 1 species